AGAGUUUGAUCAUGGCUCAGAUUGAACGCUGGCGGCAGGCCUAACACAUGCAAGUCGAACGGUAACAGGAAGCAGCUUGCUGCUUCGCUGACGAGUGGCGGACGGGUGAGUAAUGUCUGGGAAACUGCCUGAUGGAGGGGGAUAACUACUGGAAACGGUAGCUAAUACCGCAUAACGUCGCAAGACCAAAGAGGGGGACCUUCGGGCCUCUUGCCAUCGGAUGUGCCCAGAUGGGAUUAGCUUGUUGGUGGGGUAACGGCUCACCAAGGCGACGAUCCCUAGCUGGUCUGAGAGGAUGACCAGCCACACUGGAACUGAGACACGGUCCAGACUCCUACGGGAGGCAGCAGUGGGGAAUAUUGCACAAUGGGCGCAAGCCUGAUGCAGCCAUGCCGCGUGUAUGAAGAAGGCCUUCGGGUUGUAAAGUACUUUCAGCGGGGAGGAAGGGAGUAAAGUUAAUACCUUUGCUCAUUGACGUUACCCGCAGAAGAAGCACCGGCUAACUCCGUGCCAGCAGCCGCGGUAAUACGGAGGGUGCAAGCGUUAAUCGGAAUUACUGGGCGUAAAGCGCACGCAGGCGGUUUGUUAAGUCAGAUGUGAAAUCCCCGGGCUCAACCUGGGAACUGCAUCUGAUACUGGCAAGCUUGAGUCUCGUAGAGGGGGUAGAAUUCCAGGUGUAGCGGUGAAAUGCGUAGAGAUCUGGAGGAAUACCGGUGGCGAAGGCGGCCCCCUGGACGAAGACUGACGCUCAGGUGCGAAAGCGUGGGGAGCAAACAGGAUUAGAUACCCUGGUAGUCCACGCCGUAAACGAUGUCGACUUGGAGGUUGUGCCCUUGAGGCGUGGCUUCCGGAGCUAACGCGUUAAGUCGACCGCCUGGGGAGUACGGCCGCAAGGUUAAAACUCAAAUGAAUUGACGGGGGCCCGCACAAGCGGUGGAGCAUGUGGUUUAAUUCGAUGCAACGCGAAGAACCUUACCUGGUCUUGACAUCCACGGAAGUUUUCAGAGAUGAGAAUGUGCCUUCGGGAACCGUGAGACAGGUGCUGCAUGGCUGUCGUCAGCUCGUGUUGUGAAAUGUUGGGUUAAGUCCCGCAACGAGCGCAACCCUUAUCCUUUGUUGCCAGCGGUCCGGCCGGGAACUCAAAGGAGACUGCCAGUGAUAAACUGGAGGAAGGUGGGGAUGACGUCAAGUCAUCAUGGCCCUUACGACCAGGGCUACACACGUGCUACAAUGGCGCAUACAAAGAGAAGCGACCUCGCGAGAGCAAGCGGACCUCAUAAAGUGCGUCGUAGUCCGGAUUGGAGUCUGCAACUCGACUCCAUGAAGUCGGAAUCGCUAGUAAUCGUGGAUCAGAAUGCCACGGUGAAUACGUUCCCGGGCCUUGUACACACCGCCCGUCACACCAUGGGAGUGGGUUGCAAAAGAAGUAGGUAGCUUAACCUUCGGGAGGGCGCUUACCACUUUGUGAUUCAUGACUGGGGUGAAGUCGUAACAAGGUAACCGUAGGGGAACCUGCGGUUGGAUCACCU
rnacentral:rRNA from 2 species